UUACGGUCAUAUCAGGUUGAAACAUCGGUUCUCCUACGAUCACUAAGUUAAACAACAUCGGACUUGGUCAGUAGCUAAGUGGGUGACCGCUUAGGAAAACCAAGUGCUGUAAG